rnacentral:rRNA from 1 species
GUAAAGCGAGCGCAGACGGUUACUUAAGCAGGAUGUGAAAUCCCCGGGCUCAACCUGGGAACUGCGUUCUGAACUGGGUGACUAGAGUGUGUCAGAGGGAAGUAGAAUUCCACGUGUAGCAGUGAAAUGCGUAGAGAUGUGGAGGAAUACCGAUGGCGAAGGCAGCCUCCUGGGAUAACACUGACGUUCAUGCUCGAAAGCGUGGGUAGCAAACAGGAUUAGAUACCCUGGUAGUCCACGCCCUAAACGAUGUCAAUUAGCUGUUGGGCAACUUGAUUGCUUAGUAGCGUAGCUAACGCGUGAAAUUGACCGCCUGGGGAGUACGGUCGCAAGAUUAAAACUCAAAGGAAUUGACGGGGACCCGCACAAGCGGUGGAUGAUGUGGAUUAAUUCGAUGCAACGCGAAGAACCUUACCUGG